UGGCUGGGCCGGGCGGCCCGGCAUCCCCCAAAGCCGGAAUCAUCGUGUGGGAAUCGAUUGGCUGGUUG
rnacentral:SRP_RNA from 14 species